rnacentral:lncRNA from 1 species
GCUGCAGAGAGCUGGAUUUCAUUUCCGUUCUAUUCUAAUAUUUAAAAAGUAUUUUAAAAGGAAUAAAAAAAGCUUGGUUUAAAUCUCUAUACAAAAAAAUACAUCGAUAUUUUUUUCUAAUUUUAAAAUACUAUGAUAAUAAAUAAGAAAGGGAAUAACUGACGUCCAAUGCAUCACAGCUUCACAUAAUCUCUUACCCAUCUAAUUGGUAAUUAGAUUUUUCUAACCUUCUAGAAUACAAGAACA